rnacentral:rRNA from 1 species
GGCCGCAGUAUUUUGACUGUGCAAAGGUAGCAUAAUCACUAGGUUUUUAAUUGAGAUCUUGUAUGAAUGAUUGGACAAGAAAAAUACUGUCUUUAUAUUAAAAAUUGAAUUUAACUUUUAAGUGAAAAGGCUUAAAUAUGCUAGGGGGACGAUAAGACCCUAUAAAACUUUACAUUGAUGUUAAAUUUUAUAGAAUUUUAAAUUAUAAUAAUUAAAUUUAAUUUUUUGUUAUGUUGGGGAGACAAAAGCUAUAAUUGAAUUAUAACUGCUUUAAAAAAAAACAAUAAUAGGUGGUAAAAUUAUAGAUCCUUUAUAAGGAUUAUUAGAUUAAGUUACUUUAGGGAUAACAGCGUUAUUUUUUUUGAGAGUUCAUAUCGAAGAAAAAGAUUGCGACCUCGAUGUUGAAUUAAAAUAUCUUUAUAAUGUAGGUGUUAUAAAAGAAGGUCUGUUCGACCUUUAAUUUUUUACGUGAUCU